GACGAACCGUCCAAACGUUAUUCGGAAUCACUGGGCUUAAAGCGUGUGUAGGCGGAUCGUUAAGUGUCUUGUGAAUCCCACGGCUCACCCGUGGAACUGCUGGGCAUACUGGCGAUCUUGGGCCAACUAGGGGCAACUGGAACAAGCGGUGGAGCGGUGAAAUGCGUAGAUAUCGCUUGGAACGCCAAAGGUGAAAACAGGUUGCUGGGUUGUGCCGACGCUGAGACACGAAAGCCAGGGGAGCAAACGGG
rnacentral:rRNA from 1 species